rnacentral:rRNA from 1 species
UUAAAGGGUCGUUGGAGACGACAACGUUGAUAGGUUGCAGAUGUAAAGGCAGUGAUGUCAAAGUCGAGCAAUACUAAUUACCCAUAAGCUUAUGA